rnacentral:rRNA from 1 species
CAAUAGCGUAUAUUAAAGUUGUUGCAGUUAAAAAGCUCGUAGUUGGAUUUCUGCUGAGGACGAUUGGUCCGCCCACUGGGUGAGUAUCUGGCUCGGCCUUGGCAUCUUCUUGGAGAACGUUGCUGCACUUGACUGUGUGGCGCGGUAUCCAGGACUUUUACUUUGAGGAAAUUAGAGUGUUUCAAGCAGGCGCACGCCUUGAAUACAUUAGCAUGGAAUAAUGAGAUAGGACCUUGGUUCUAUUUUGUUGGUUUCUAGAGCUGAGGUAAUGAUUAAUAGGGAUAGUUGGGGGCAUUCGUAUUUAACUGUCAGAGGUGAAAUUCUUGGAUUUGUUAAAGACGGACUACUGCGCAAGCAUUUGCCAAGGAUGUUUUCAUUGA